AGUUCAUGGUGAGGACACCUUCUCAACAAAUCCUUAAAUCUCUCCCAUGUAUCAAAAAUGUUCCAAUAUCAAGCUGAAAAAAAAAGAGAUGUCAUUCCUCAACUU
rnacentral:snoRNA from 1 species